rnacentral:rRNA from 1 species
CCCUUAGAUGUUCUGGGCCGCACGCGUGCUACACUGAGUGGAUCAGCGGGUCAGGUUGCGCGAAAGCGUUUCCUAAUCUUUAAAUCCGCUCGUGAUGGGGAUUGACGGUUGCAAUUUUCUGUCAUGAACGAGGAAUACCUUGUAAGCGCGGGUCAUCAUCCCGCGCUGAAUACGUCCCUGCCCUUUGUACACACCGCCCGUCGCUCCUACCGAUUGAGUGGUCCGGUGAGGCUUUGGGAUCUGAGCGGCAAGAGCGUUUCGCUGUUUCUGCUCGGAAAACUCAGUCGAACCUUAUCAUUUAGAGGAAGGAGAAGUCGUAACA